rnacentral:rRNA from 1 species
CCUACGGGUGGCAGCAGUGGGGAAUAUUGGACAAUGGGGGGAACCCUGAUCCAGCCAUGCCGCGUGUGUGAAGAAGGCCCUCGGGUUGUAAAGCACUUUCAGUGAGGAAGAACGCCUGGUGGUUAAUACCCAUCAGGAAAGACAUCACUCACAGAAGAAGCACCGGCUAACUCGGUGCCAGCAGCCGCGGUAAUACGGAGGGUGCGAGCGUUAAUCGGAAUUACUGGGCGUAAAGCGCGCGUAGGUGGCUUGAUAAGCCGGUUGUGAAAGCCCCGGGCUCAACCUGGGAACGGCAUCCGGAACUGUCAAGCUAGAGUGCAGGAGAGGAAGGUAGAAUUCCCGGUGUAGCGGUGAAAUGCGUAGAGAUCGGGAGGAAUACCAGUGGCGAAGGCGGCCUUCUGGACUGACACUGACACUGAGGUGCGAAAGUGUGGGUAGCAAACAGGAUUAGAUACCCCAGUAGUC